ensembl:lncRNA LOC120093103 uncharacterized LOC120093103
GCCUGGGAGUCAGGUAGCAGGGCCUUUGGGAUCCAGUCGCUCAUUGACUGUGAGCUCAGGCAAGCUCGUACACUCCAGAGGCUCCUCUGCUUCCGUGUUUCACGAGAAUGCAGUGUUACAGGAUCCUAAAUGCAGUUGUGAGGAUUAAAUGUGAAAGUGCUCAUGGCAUACAGAAUGCUGAACCCAGGCCUGGCGCAGAAGGGUCAGCCAUUUCUAAUGGGAUACAGGCACACAUGCAUGGGCAAGGAGCCCACUCUGCACCUCUCCAAGACAAAGGCAAUCCGUCUGAAGGAUAUCUUGAAUGUGAAUGAUUCUCUGCUUUAUCAACCUUGAGUCUGCACAUAAGUCACAGCCCUCUUCUUUCGUCGGCAAUUCCAGCAAAAUUCCAUGUCUGUGAUUGUUUUCAUUGCCACCCAGUUUAUGGGACACAUGUAUUCCUUUCCCACUUUAAAGGUUUCUGCAGUCGCAGUCACGUUCACUGCAAGCGCGGGGGAUGAUCUUCCCAUUUAAAACAUUGGCCAAUCAACCGCAUCAUUUCAUUUUGAAUCGCAACUCCUGUGUUGUGUAAUUACUUGUGAAGGUUGAGAAAUGGGCCUCUCCAGGAAGAUCCUUUCUUUACUAGACCAGCAAGAAUGAGCCUGUCUAAGUGGUAGGUGUGUGUAUGUGCUGCAUGCAUGUGUGUGCCUGUAUGUGUGCAUGUGUGUGUACAUGUGCAUGUGUGUGUGCAUUUAUGUUUUGUGCAUGUGUGUGUGCAUUUGUGGUGUGUGUGUGUGUGUGUGUGUGUGUGUGUGUGUGUGUGUGUGUAUUCUAAGCAGGCAUCUUAGAUUUUGUGAACAAUUUUAAGGACCUUUGGAAUUUGUUAAACAUUUAGUUUCAGUUUAUUUUAUUACUGUUUUUGUUUUGUUUUGUUUGUUUUCUUGAAGGCUUGGGGAAUGAGUAUUGAGUUGAUAUUGUAUCAUGUGAUGGGAUCUGGGGAUUUUACAGGAGGGCAAUAGAUGGGGAGGCCAGCAAGGUGGCCCCUGUAGUUUCCAGAGGAAGAACCACAGAAGACCAUAGCACAGACCUGAAGUUGGAAGGAGCCUCAUGCUGGUAAUUUUCUGUAAUCCAGACAUUCACCAUCGCUUCCGACAGCAUCCAUGCUUGUCUAUGUGCCUUGCUCAACGGCGCAUGUAUGUUUCCCUUAUGCAAUCCCUGGUACCUGACUCAGGAUUUACAAUCUCAAAGAAGCUUCCAGUCACUGGCUUCUCUACGUGAAUGUGUACUAGUUCUUGUGGCUGGCUGGGUCUUGGUGAUGAUGAUGAUUGCAGGAACACCCCAUUUGAAUAAGGCAUUCAUGUGUUUGUAAUACUAUCUACAUAAAACUCACAUAGAACAUCUUGAUUAAAUCAUCUAGAAGCAACCAUCUCUAGAUUAUUCCUAAUAUUGAAUUCAGUGUAAAUAGUGUAUAAAUAGUUGUUAAUUUUGUAUAUUUGUGCCAUGUAUGUAUAUACAUACAUAUGUACGUCUGCGUGCGUGCAGGUGGUAGUCAGAAGUCAAUUCCUGGCAUCUUCCUAGUUUCCCUACAUUUCACAUAUUUUUUUUUUUUGGUAUAGUGUCUCACACUGAACCUGGUGUUAAAAUUAACCCCACUAGGCUGGCUGUCAAUGAGCUCCAAGUGUUCCCCUAUCUUUCCCCUUCUUUUUUUUUUUCCAGAGCUGAGGACCGAACCCCGGGCCUUGGGCUUGCUAGGCAAGUGCUCUACCACUGAGCUAAAUCCCCAACCCCUUCUCUGUCCCCUUCUAACAGUGGACUCACAAAUGUAUUCUGGCAGCCCAGAUUUUAGUUGGGGAUCUGUACUGGUUAGUUUUGUGUGUCAAUUUGACACAAGCUGGGGUUUUCACAGAAAAGGAGCCUCAGCUGUGGAAAUGCCUUCACAAGACCCAGCUGUAAGGCAUUUUCUCAUCUGGUGAUCAAGGUGGGAGGACCCAGCCCAUUGUAGGUGGUGCCUUCCCUGGGCUGGUGGUCUUGGGUUCUAUAAGAGAGCAAGCUGAGCAAGCCAGGGGAAGCAAGCCAGUAAGUAACAUCCCUCCAUGGCCUCUGCAUCAGCUCCUGCUUCCUGACCUGCUUGAGUUCCAGUCCUGACUUCCUUUGGUGAUGAACAGCCAUGUGGAAGUGUAAGCUGAAUAAACCGUUUCCUCCCCAACUCUCUUCUUGGUCAUGAUGUUUGUGCAGGAAUAGAAACCCUGACUAAGACAGGAUCCAAACCCAGAUCCUCACACAUACAAAGCAAGCACGGUAGUCACUGGCCUAUCUUGUCCCCUCCAAAAUUCUCAUAAUUUUUCAAGGAGAAAAUGACAGGAUUUUAAAAGUCACAUCCAUUCAGUACAGAUGUUACUUGCUUUUGAUGAACGGUUGUAUGAAUUAGAUGAAAUACUAAUACCUAUGGUUGCAGACGACCAAUGCAUGAGCUACUUCACUUCUGGCAUGCAUACAUUCUAUGAUUUCAUUCUAUUUCUCCCACCAGAACCUACUCUAGCCCCUUAGAGGGCCUUCUGCCUUCAACUUCCAAAGCCUCCAUGACUGAGCUUGUAAGUGGACUCGACAGUUAAAUCCUUGAUUUUGAAUAUUGGGAUGUUAGAGUCUUAUACUGUUUACUAUACCCAGAUAACAGGUUCACGUCCUCAAGCUGACAAAGUUAAUGUGCCAACGGGGACCCUUUGGUUCCUUGUGUAGGUUGGACAUGCUAGAUUUUCCGGCUUUAACGAGCAUCUGGAACAUUGCAGUGAUUGGCGACUAUAAUGCUUUGUUUCUUGUUUAUGCUUCUUUGAUAUAUCUUGAAGCAUAUAAUUAGAAUACAGAAUUUCUUGAUUUAUUUAUGGAUUGUUUAAUCCAUAAGUAAUUAAGUUGUUAUCUCUUCCUCUCACCUGUCUCUAAAGUUUCUGCGCAUCUAAUGUCACACAGUGACUAGGGUAGGGAAUUUAACAGUCACUUCUUGAGGAAAUUAAUGGGGGACCACCAACUUGGGGGUCACGAAAUGUGUUUAAGUGCUGUGGCAUCUUUUUAAUGGGGAAGAUGGGGAAGUGAUAAUUCAGAAAGGAACUAGGAGGAUUAGGUGUGAUUGAUGUGGUAUGUAGAGAAGGAGGCCUCUGUCCACAGAAAUGCCAAUAAUACAGUGACAAGCCUUGGCUGAGUCAGAGCCUCUAGGCCUGAAACACCUCUGUGUGAUGCAGCGUGUUCUUGAGCAAGCUCUGUAUUUCACUGCUCUGUAUUUCACCUGCACUUGGACUGUUCUCCAGUCGCUCUCUCCAUUGGCCAAGGGGCAACUUUGACAACUCACUUAAGCCCCAUUUGUUGAGUUCAGUUAGAUUUUUCAUUCUUCGGCCUGAUCAAUUUCUCCCAUAUAACGUUACAUCAUUUUGAUUUUGAUUAGAUAUUUGUAAAUUACCACACAUCUUUCCCAGUUUGGAUAGAAGGUAACUGCUGAUCGAACUACUGUACUGAAGCCUUUGAUCCCCGACAUCUAUUUACUCAGUCACUGAUUAGUCGCUCAAUACAAUGAAAUGUGAUGUGAUGAUAUGCUGAUCUGAGGAAAAUGUUAAAGAUGGGAAAGUCAGAGCUGUCAUUCUGGCUUUCGUCACUUAAGAAGAUCCAGGGAGAGGUGCAGGGAUGUCUUAGUAGGAGAACAUGGUGGAACGUCAAUGGUGGGAUGUGGGUAAGAUAACCCACAAAUUAAUUAUGUUGUAAUCCUUAGGACCACAGUGUGAUCAAGUUUAGAAAGAUAGAUGGGAUGCAAUGACAGAUUGUGCAUUCUUCCCUCUAAAAAGUAAUUAUCAGUCGUUAAAAGAGUGCCACCGUUCUCAGUUAAUACAGACUUUCAAAUUCUUCCAGCUUAAAACUCUGCAGACAUGAGAGGCUCCCACGGAUACUUUCAGGAAACUAAGAGAUGUCUGAGCUUUUUCUACAUUGUAAUAAUCCAGGUGUGCUCUGUACUCAUCGUUGGUCUCCAAAGUAAUAAAUAAAACAGAGCUUGAAAAAUCAACACUUAAUGCACUACUGAACAGUUAUGCACAUGAUAAUUUAUAUUUCGUCCCUGCUUUGGCUCUCAUAAAGGUUAAUUGUUUAAAGGCAGUGAACUUGGCAG